UGGGGAAUUUUGCACAAUGGGGGGAACCUUGAUGCAGCGACGCCGCGUGAGGGAUGGAGGCCUUCGGGUUGUGAACCUCUUUCGCUCGUGUGCAAGCCGCUAUUUGGGUAGUGGUGAGUGUAGCGGGUAAAGAAGCGCCGGCUAACUACGUGCCAGCAGCCGCGGUAAUACGUAGGGCGCGAGCGUUGUCCGGAUUUAUUGGGCGUAAAGGGCUUGUAGGCGGUUUGUCGCGCCUGUCGUGUAAUCCUCUGGCUUAACUGGGGGUGUGCGGUGGGUACGGGCAAGCUUGAGUGCGGUAGGGGAGAUUGGAAUUCCUGGUGUAGCGGUGGAAUGCGCAGAUAUCAGGAGGAACACCGGUGGCGAAGGCGGGUCUCUGGACCGUUACUGACGCUGAGGAGCGAAAGCGUGGGGAGCGAACAGG
rnacentral:rRNA from 1 species